GGGACAAUUUUGAGGUAAACUGGCACUUCCUCUUUCUCGAAUGAAACUAAUGAAGAGAGAACAAAAGUAAAAUUUCCCACAUCACCAUUGGCCUUUGAAUGAUCAAACUCUUGGAAGUGAAUUUGUGAUGAUGAGUGCCAAAAUGUAGGGAAAACAAAGCCUUCUUCAUGAGGUAGAAGAGCCACCACCUAAGGAUUUCAGGUAGGACCAGGCAUUUGAAACCCCAUGCUGUUCUCACUAUUGACUACACUUUCAUUGACAUGGAAUGUUGAAGCUGGCAAGACACCUAAACCAAACCUACUUCUCAUCUACUUUUCAU
rnacentral:lncRNA from 1 species